rnacentral:rRNA from 1 species
AUGACUAUUUGUGUGUAUACAGCUGUUAUAUCCUACGCUACUCUCACAAUUUUGAUCCCAAGUUAUGUGCUUUGUCUGUAUAACUGUACCUUAUUUUGCAGUGGCUGCCGGGGCAGCAGCUUCACACUACCACACCGCCCUAGGCUUCAAAAUCUGGUAAUGCAACACCCCCUCCGCCUCCUUAGUUCGGAAAUUGGUUGGUGGUGUACAGUGGAGACUAAAAAUUCAGUGGAGGCUUCUUUCCACAAUUAUGUUCAUCUCAGCCAUAAGAUAGAGAGAGAUCAAUAG